rnacentral:rRNA from 1 species
UACGUAGGGGGCGAGCGUUGUCCGGAUUUAUUGGGCGUAAAGAGCGUGUAGGCGGCCAGGUAGGUCUGCUGUGAAAACUCGAGGCUCAACCUCGAGACGUCGGCGGAAACCAUCUGGCUAGAGUCCGGAAGAGGAGAGUGGAAUUCCUGGUGUAGCGGUGAAAUGCGCAGAUAUCAGGAGGAACACCCGUGGCGAAAGCGGCUCUCUGGGACGGUACUGACGCUGAGGCGCGAAAGCGUGGGGAGCGAACAGG